rnacentral:rRNA from 1 species
CUCGACAACGGAUAUCUCGGCUUUCACGUCGAUGAAAAACGUAGUGAAAUACGAUACUUGGUGUGAAUUGCAGAAUCCCGUGAACCAUCGAGUAUUUGAAUGCAAGUUGCGCUCGAAGCCUUCUGGCCGAGGGCACGUUUUCCUGGGCGUCACG